AGAGUUUGAUCAUGGCUCAGAACGAACGCUGGCGGCGUGCCUAAUACAUGCAAGUCGUGCGUGAAAGAGGGGGCAACCCCUCGAGUAAAGCGGCAAACGGGUGAGUAACACGUAAGCAAUCUACCUCUAAGUUCGGGAUAACCUUGCCAACGCGGGGCUAAUACCGGACGUGGUCCGAUAGUCGCAUGAUUGUCGGAUUAAAGAUGGCAGUAAUGUUUUCGCUUGGAGAUGAGCUUGCGGCCCAUUAGCUAGUUGGCGGAGUAACAGCCCACCAAGGCUAUGAUGGGUAGCCGGCCUGAGAGGGUGUACGGCCACAUUGGGACUGAGAUACGGCCCAGACUCCUUCGGGAGGCAGCAGUAGGGAAUUUUGCGCAAUGGACGAAAGUCUGACGCAGCAACGCCGCGUGAGUGAUGACGGUCUUCGGAUUGUAAAGCUCUGUUGAGUGGGAAGAAAAGUUCCGUUAAUAGCGGAGCCUGACGGUACCGCUCGAGGAAGCCCCGGCUAACUACGUGCCAGCAGCCGCGGUAAUACGUAGGGGGCGAGCGUUGUUCGGAAUCACUGGGCGUAAAGGGAGCGUAGGCGGGUCUGUAAGUUAGGAGUCUAAUUCCCGGGCUUAACCCGGGGCCGGCUUUUAAUACUGCAGGUCUUGAGUAGGGAAGAGGGAGAUGGAAUUUCAGGUGUAGCGGUGGAAUGCGUAGAUAUCUGAAAGAACACCAGUAGCGA
rnacentral:rRNA from 1 species